rnacentral:rRNA from 1 species
AUUGAACGCUGGCGGCAGGCCUAACACAUGCAAGUCGAACGGCAGCACAGAAGAGCUUGCUCUUUGGGUGGCGAGUGGCGGACGGGUGAGUAAUGUCUGGGAAACUGCCCGAUGGAGGGGGAUAACUACUGGAAACGGUAGCUAAUACCGCAUAACGUCGCAAGACCAAAGUGGGGGACCUUCGGGCCUCACACCAUCGGAUGUGCCCAGAUGGGAUUAGCUAGUAGGUGGGGUAAUGGCUCACCUAGGCGACGAUCCCUAGCUGGUCUGAGAGGAUGACCAGCCACACUGGAACUGAGAUACGGUCCAGACUCCUACGGGAGGCAGCAGUGGGGAAUAUUGCACAAUGGGCGCAAGCCUGAUGCAGCCAUGCCGCGUGUAUGAAGAAGGCCUUCGGGUUGUAAGUACUUUCAGCGGGGAGGAAGGCGGUGAGGUUAAUAACCUCGCCGAUUGACGUUACCCGCAGAAGAAGCACCGGCUAACUCCGUGCCAGCAGCCGCCGUAA